rnacentral:lncRNA from 1 species
GCACCGCCCUUAAUCCAUUUAACUCUGAGUUGACACAGCACAUGUUUCAGAGAGCACGGGGUUGGGGGUAAGGUUAUAGAUUAACAGAAUCUCAAGGCAGAAGAAUUUUUCUUAGUACAUAACAAAAUGGAGUCUCCUAUGUCUACUUCUUUCUACACAGACACAGUAACAAUCUGAUCUCUCUUGCUUUUCCCCACAUUUCCCCCUUUUCUUUUCGACAAAACCACCAUCGUCAUCAUGGCCCGUUCUCGAUGGUCGCUGUCUCUUCGGAGCUGUUGGGUACACCUGCAGACCACCAUUGAUACAAUCAUCAAGGCUGCAAGCAGCAUACUCUCUGGGGUUUGUGUCACCUUUGUGUUCUCUAGAUAUUUUGUAGCUAACUGCGUCAGCUUCUUUAGUUGUGCCCAAGUCGGCGGCUCUGCCUUCUUGGUGGAUGGCAACUUCAUCUGUUCUGAUGUCACCAUUUUGUUCAUCUUGUGAGUCAACGGUGCUCGAUUGCGGUGUCUCCGUCUCCGCGGAGGUGCUUUUCUUUGCAUCUCCGAUGGGUGCAUUGUAGAACUUCAAAUGUCUAGUGGGUAUCCAAACAGGAAGCUGAUUUUCUCCUGGUGAAACACAAGCAAAACCUCUCCCCCACGUUAUCACCUUCCCUAUUUCCCAUGUCUUAUUUUUAUUAUCUUUCCACCAAAUUAGUUUUCCUUCAUGUGGGCUGUUCUUUUUACCAGUAAGAUGUUGUUCUGCAGAAGUAGUAGUCUGAUUUCCAUAAAUGUUUAAAAAAUUUAAAGUAUAGAGUGCUAGAUUAAGUUGCAUCUGAGGAGUGGUACACUCCUUACUGUCUCCCCCUUCUUUUUGUUUAACUAAUUGGGUUUUGAGUGUUCUAUUAGUUCUUUCAACUAUGGCCUGUCCUUGGGAAUUAUAAGGAAUUCCUGUUGUAUGUGAAAUUUUCCACUGACUUAAGAAUUUUUGGAAAGCUUUACUACAAUAUCCUGGUCCAUUGUCAGUUUU